rnacentral:lncRNA from 1 species
UGUAGUAGUAUGGUGGAGGAGGAGAUGGGGAAGGUGGUGGUGGGGAUUUGUAGUAGUAUGGUGGAGGAGGAGAUGGCGAUGGUGGUGGAGGAGACUUGUAGUAGUAAGGAGGUGGAGGUGAUGGAGAUGGUGGUGGAGGAGAUUUGUAGUAGUAUGGAGGUGGCGGUGAUGGAGAUGGUGGUGGAGGAGAUUUGUAAUAGUAUGGUGGUGGAGGAGAUGGGUCUGGUGGUGGUGGAGACUUGUAGUAGUAUGGUGGAGGAGGAGAUGGUGAUGGUGGAGGAGGAGACUUGUAAUAGUAGGGAGGUGGGGGUGAUGGAGAUGGUGGUGGAGGAGACUUGUAAUAGUAUGGUGGAGGAGGAGAUGGCGAUGGUGGUGGUGGAGACUUGUAAUAGUAGGGAGGUGGAGGUGAUGGUGAUGGUGGUGGAGGAGAUUUGUAGUAGUAUGGAGGUGGUGGUGAUGGAGAUGGUGGUGGAGGAGACUUGUAAUAGUAUGGUGGUGGUGGUGGGGACUUGUAGACGUACUUAGGUGAUGGUGGUGGUGGGGACUUGUAGACGUACUUAGGUGAGGGAGGUGGUGGAGACUUGUACACGUAUUUAGGUGAUGGAGGAGGUGGUGAUUUGUACACGUACUUCGGUGAUGGAGGUGGUGGUGACUUGUACACGUAUUUAGGUGAUGGAGGAGGUGGUGAUUUGUACACGUACUUCGGUGAUGGAGGUGGUGGUGACUUGUACACGUAUUUAGGUGAUGGAGGAGGUGGUGACUUGUACACGUACUUUGGUGAUGGAGGCGGUGGUGACUUGUAUACGUAUUUAGGUGAUGGAGGAGGUGGUGACUUGUACACGUACUUUGGUGAUGGAGGUGGUGGUGAUUUGUACACGUAUUUAGGUGACGGAGGAGGUGGUGACUUGUACACGUACUUUGGUGAUGGAGGUGGUGGUGACUUGUACACGUACUUUGGUGAUGGAGGUGGUGGUGACUUGUACACGUACUUUGGUGAUGGAGGUGGUGGUGACUUGUACACGUACUUGGGGGAUGGAGGAGGUGGGGACUUGUACACGUAUUUUGGUGAUGGUGGUGGAGGAGAUUUGUAGUAGUAAGGAGUUGGGGUUGGCUUAGGCUUCAUGCAUUCUUCAUAUGGAGUUUUUGGAGCAUAAGCAAAUGGUUUAGCAGAGAGCACAACUUCAUAAUGAUUCUUUGACUUCACUUUGAGGUUAGCACCCUUGAUGCCCCAAUGAAGAUCUGUGGGGAUGUUACAUUUUGAAUCCUUUGGUGCUUUGUGGAGUUUAGCCUUGCAUGCAUCUGCUCCAUAUUUGGCAUAAUCAAAUCCUUCAACAGUGAUG